AGGACGAACGCUGGCGGCGUGCUUAACACAUGCAAGUCGAGCGGUAAGGCCUUUCGGGGUACACGAGCGGCGAACGGGUGAGUAACACGUGGGUGAUCUGCCCUGCACUUCGGGAUAAGCCUGGGAAACUGGGUCUAAUACCGGAUAUGACCUCCUAUCGCAUGGUGGGUGGUGGAAAGAUUUAUCGGUGCAGGAUGGGCCCGCGGCCUAUCAGCUUGUUGGUGGGGUAAUGGCCUACCAAGGCGACGACGGGUAGCCGACCUGAGAGGGUGACCGGCCACACUGGGACUGAGACGACGGCCCAGACUCCGUACGGGAGGCAGCA
rnacentral:rRNA from 1 species